AGUAGAGUCAGCUAAGCAAGCUUUCGGGCCCAUACCCCGACAACGUUGGUACCCAAACCCUCCUCUACUA
rnacentral:tRNA from 1 species